UGCAGCUAUGUCAAAUUCAGUGCUUGCCCCACCCAUGGCUGCCACAGAGACACUUUAACUCAUGAGCCCUGUUCCUCUCUGCUGAGCCUCAGAGAUAAAUUUUGUUACAAACUUUG
rnacentral:snoRNA from 1 species